GAGGAAGCGCACCGUUAAGCAGCGGACUUAUAACCCGUCGGCCGUGGGUUCGAGUCCCACCCGCCCCACCA
rnacentral:tRNA from 1 species